rnacentral:rRNA from 1 species
UACAGAGGCCUCGAGCGUUAGGCGGAAUCACUGGGCUUAAAGCGUGUGUAGGCGGACUUCUAAGUACCUUGUGAAAUCCCACGGCUCACCCGUGGAACUGCUCGGUAUACUGGUCGUCUUGAGCCUUCUAGGGGCGAGUGGAACAAAUGGUGGAGCGGUGAAAUGCGUAGAUAUCGCCUGGAACGCCGACGGUGAAAACAGCUCGCUGGGGGUGUUCUGACGCUGAGACACGAAAGCCAGGGGAGCGAACGGG